rnacentral:rRNA from 1 species
GACGAACGCUGGCGGCGUGCUUAACACAUGCAAGUCGAACGGAAAGGCCCCUUUGGGGGUACUCGAGUGGCGAACGGGUGAGUAACACGUGAGUAACCUGCCCUUGACUUCGGGAUAACUUCAGGAAACUGGGGCUAAUACCGGAUAGGAAUCCUUGCUGCAUGGUGGGGGUUGGAAAGCUUCGGCGGUUUUGGAUGGACUCGCGGCUUAUCAGCUUGUUGGUGGGGUAGUGGCUUACCAAGGCUUUGACGGGUAGCCGGCCUGAGAGGGCGACCGGCCAUAUUGGGACUGAGAUACGGCCCAGACUCCUACGGGAGGCAGCAGUGGGGAAUAUUGCACAAUGGGCGGAAGCCUGAUGCAGCAACGCCGCGUGCGGGAUGACGGCCUUCGGGUUGUAAACCGCUUUCAGCAGGGGCGAAGCUUGUGGUGACGGUACCUGCAGAAGAAGCACCGGCUAACUACGUG